GGGUGCGGUGUCGCAUAUCGCGCAUUGCAGGGUAAAUUCAAGCGUUGGUCGGGCCGCCAUCG
rnacentral:ncRNA from 2 species